UGAACGCUGGCGGCGUGCCUAAUACAUGCAAGUCGAACGAACAGAUAAGGAGCUUGCUCCUUUGACGUUAGCGGCGGACGGGUGAGUAACACGUGGAUAACCUACCUAUAAGACUGGGAUAACUUCGGGAAACCGGAGCUAAUACCGGAUAACAUAUUGAACCGCAUGGUUCAAUAGUGAAAGGCGGCUUUGCUGUCACUUAUAGAUGGAUCCGCGCCGUAUUAGCUAGUUGGUAAGGUAACGGCUUACCAAGGCAACGAUACGUAGCCGACCUGAGAGGGUGAUCGGCCACACUGGAACUGAGACACGGUCCAGACUCCUACGGGAGGCAGCAGUAGGGAAUCUUCCGCAAUGGGCGAAAGCCUGACGGAGCAACGCCGCGUGAGUGAUGAAGGUCUUCGGAUCGUAAAACUCUGUUAUCAGGGAAGAACAAAUGUGUAAGUAACUGUGCACAUCUUGACGGUACCUGAUCAGAAAGCCACGGCUAACUACGUG
rnacentral:rRNA from 1 species